rnacentral:rRNA from 1 species
GUGGGGAAUAUUGGACAAUGGGCGCAAGCCUGAUCCAGCCAUGCCGCGUGAGUGAUGAAGGCCUUAGGGUUGUAAAGCUCUUUCAGUGGGGACGAUAAUGACGGUACCCACAGAAGAAGCCCCGGCUAACUUCGUGCCAGCAGCCGCGGUAAUACGAAGGGGGCUAGCGUUGUUCGGAUUUACUGGGCGUAAAGCGCACGUAGGCGGAUCGUUAAGUCGGGGGUGAAAUCCUGGAGCUCAACUCCAGAACUGCCUUCGAUACUGGCGAUCUUGAGUCCGGAAGAGGUGAGUGGAACUCCUAGUGUAGAGGUGGAAUUCGUAGAUAUUAGGAAGAACACCGGUGGCGAAGGCGGCCAUCUGGCUCGGUACUGACGCUCAGGCGCGAAAGCGUGGGGAGCAAACAGGAUUAGAAACCCCAGUAGUCC